UCAGUGCUGCUGAUUUCUCUUUGUCUCUCAUCAAUUAUUUCAACACUUCCAAUUCUGCGCAAAUACCAAGCUACAACUCGAUAUUUCCUUUGUUCUUCAUUUAUAUUUUUAUCUUUUCCUCAAAAGUAAUAACAACUUUCCAAAACAAUGAUUCAUAACUAACAAUAUCAAAUGGAAAAUCAUUCUUUUGAGUUGUUUAUCACUUGGAUUGUUGCAGUUUGUCAUCAAUAUUUCAAGAACUUGUGAAAUUAAAUUAAUUAGCACGUUUAUUGCAACCAAAACAGUGAGAGAUAUAAUUUGCAAACGAUUCGGUAUUUUGCGAGCAGAGAUCAGAAAAUAUUGCAGCAUUUCGAAUAUUUUUCGCUCAAUUACAAAGCACAAAUGGUAAUUUACAGGAGGUAUCCUGGGGCUCCAUUUGGACUACUCAGAAACUAAAUGCUAAAAGUAGAAAUACAAUUCUUAGAUAGAUACAAUUUUGUAUACAUAUUUAUUUACCUUAACUGCUUCUAAUAUAUUUCUCUCUGCUCUUGUAUGAGCUGUGUCUUUCUGAUUCGUGACGAUUGAUGCUUUCUUGAGAACUUUCAUAGCAAAAUGGUUGUUAGCAUCUAGACCGCUGGUCUUUCGAACCU